AAGGGCGCAUGGCGGAUGCCUUGGCUCACGGAGGCGAUGAAGGACGUGUCAAGCUGCGAUAAGCCCCGGGUAGAUGCAAGCAAUCUCUGAUCCGGGGAUUUCCGAAUGGGACAACCCAGCACUCUGAAGGAGUGCUAUCCUGAUUUUUGUUCAG
rnacentral:rRNA from 1 species